rnacentral:rRNA from 1 species
UACGAAGGGGGCGAGCGUUGUUCGGAAUCACUGGGCGUAAAGGGCGCGUAGGCGGCCCUCUUAGUCGCGUGUGAAAGCCCCGGGCUCAACCCGGGAACUGCGUCCGAUACUGGGAGGCUUGAAUCCGGGAGAGGGAUGUGGAAUUCCAGGUGUAGCGGUGAAAUGCGUAGAUAUCUGGAGGAACACCGGUGGCGAAGGCGGCAUCCUGGACCGGUAUUGACGCUGAGGCGCGAAAGCCAGGGGAGCAAACGGG